rnacentral:rRNA from 1 species
UACGAAGGGGGCUAGCGUUGUUCGGAUUCACUGGGCGUAAAGGGCACGUAGGCGGCUCGGCAAAUCGGUCGUGGAAUCCCGACGCUUACCGUCGGAACGGCGGCCGAAAAUACCGGGCUCGAGGGCGUGAGGGGUCACUGGAACUCCUGGUGAAGCGGUGAAAUGCGUAGAUAUCAGGAGGAACGCCGGAGGCGAAAGCGAGUGACUGGCGCGUUCCUGACGCUGAGGUGCGAAAGCUAGGGGAGCAAACAGG